rnacentral:rRNA from 1 species
UAGAUGCGAGAGUAGAGCAUAUCAAUAAGCGGAGGAAAAGAAACUAACAAGGAUUCCCUUAGUAACGGCGAGUGAAGCGGGAAGAGCUCAAAUUUGAAAUCUUCAAGGUUCUACCUUGACGAAUUGUAGUUUAAAGAAGUGUUUUCUGUUAGAUGAGUAGCAAAAGUUCCUUGGAAUAGGACAUCAUAGAGGGUGAGAAUCCCGUAUUUGACCAUUAUUCAUUCAGCUUUGUGAUACACUUUCAAAGAGUCGGAUUGUUUGGGAAUGCAGUCCAAAAUGGGUGGUAAAUUUCAUCUAAAGCUAAAUAUUGGCGAGAGACCGAUAGCGAACAAGUACCGUGAGGGAAAGAUGAAAAGAACUUUGAAAAGAGAGUUAAACAGUACGUGAAAUUGUCAAAAGGGAAGCGUUUGACACCAGUGUUGUUUUUCCGAAAAUCAAUUACGAAUGGCUUGAUUUUGUGUUGUAUUGACCUUAUCAGCUUUCUGCACUUUUUUUCGAGUCUUUCUUAAUGCACUUUUCGGUUAACAAGUCAACAUCAAUUUCUUUUGUUGUAAAAGAGUAUUCGGAAGGUGGCUUUCUUUUCGGAGAAAGUGUUUAUAGCCCUAUACUUCUACAAUCGGAGAGAUUGAGGUCUGCAGCGUAGAUCCUUCGGGGUUAGAUACACUUUGUGCUAAGUUGUAGCUUUUCAUAGACAACUUGUUGACUAUGUUUAGUCAUGCGGCUUACUCGCUUAUGCUAUUUUACCUACGCUUAGGAUGUUGAGCGCAUGUCUCUCUCU